rnacentral:rRNA from 1 species
UACGGGGGAGCAAGCGUUGUUCGGAUUUACUGGGCGUAAAGGGCGCGUAGGCGGCCACCGCAAGUCGGUUGUGAAAUCUCUGGGCUUAACCCAGAAAGGUCAACCGAUACUGCGGGGCUAGAGUGCAGAAGGGGCAACUGGAAUUCUCGGUGUAGCGGUGAAAUGCGUAGAUAAUCGAGAGGAACACCUGCGGCGAAGGCGGGUUGCUGGGCUGA